GAGUCUAAGUAGAAGCCAUCCGCUUCUCACCUUGCAACGCAUUAGCAGUUCGUAAGGUUAUGACAGCAUGUAUGAUUAUGCUUUUGUUGCGGGUGGUAUUUAUACCAUCCGUUUUUAUUUAUAUGU
rfam:Pelosinus fermentans B4 ctg36, whole genome shotgun sequence.